CAAUGAUAAGCAUACAUGGCCUAUCCAUUCUAUAUUAUCUAUGGUUGUAUUAUGUAUCUGUGUUAUCUCCUAUCAGAUAAUACCAGAAAAUGUAUUAUGUAUAGAUAAUAAUUAUAAAAUACUAUAUUAUUAUUGCAACAACUAGCCUAUUCAUUAGAUUGAAAUAGGUAAUAUAGAUUUAAAUUUUACAAUUGAAAUUCUCGUUCUAAGUCUUGUAUUACAGUAUAGCAUUUAUCAUAUAAAACUGUUGUUACUACCUUCAACAACAUGCCGAACGCAUAUUUACUUUGUCUGAAGCCAUCAAAAUCACACCCAAUUAUUUUGUUUCAUAAAUUUCCAAUGAAUCCAUUGCAUAGUAGUUGGCUCGAAGCUUAUGGAUUUAUAAAUAAUGACUAUAGAGUAUGGACCUAAAAAAAAAUUGUGCUCAAUACACUUUGAAGAAGAUUGUUUUAUCAAAAACUUUAAACAGUGUUUAAAGCUUAAAUCAAUACCUGCACUACAUUUAAAACAUAGUAAAAAUUAAUAUACGACAUGCCAGAAUUUUACAUAAGUAUAAACAGAUAUUUGUGAUGUAUCUGUAUUAGAACUUGGAGUCUACAGUUCCAACCAAAUGUACAUACAUUUAUGAAUCAAAAGAACCUUUGGAUUUAUUGUUGAGUCCUCAUAUUGCUAUGCACUGACGUCCCGCCAUAUACAUAUAUACUUGAGAUAGGCUUGAGAACGUCAUAUACAUAUUGUCAAAAUAUGCAUAUUAAAAUACCAAAUGUUGUUAACCUCGGGGAAGGCUAGGCCAACGAUAAAAUAGUUAAUACAAGUUGUUCUGAGAAUUGGAUAAGGGAAAUUGCGUUGUGGAACACAUAAGAAUACAAUAGGCUAAAUCAUAAUCGAUGAUAGAUACGUUCGCACGAUCUACGACAAAUAAUCAAUAAUAGGUUUUGAUCAGUUUGAAAGACAGUAUAUUAUAGCAAUAGAAAAUACCUCAUUUUCGUCAAUAACGAAACGACACAACAUGUCACAAUUUUAACCAUAAAAGCGUAGGAUGAUAGUGUUUUCUGGAACUUGUGCUCACAUAAGCGAAAGUAAACGGGGUCAGCACUAUCUUGUCAAUAGGAGAGGAGUAGGGAGAUUAGGCCUAUAAAAUAGGGACCUAGCCACCCGAUAUUCAGACAUGAUUUGUUAGAGCCAGUACAAGCACCUUCACGCCAGUCAACUAUCUGAGAUCAUUUCAACUGCUCAAAAUAUUCAAACAGUUUUUACAUUCAUAGUAAAAUCUAUGUUAAUAAUUAUAAAAUUGACUUAUACUUAAUACACCUUGUCGUCUAUCACCCUUGUACAUCAGAAUCUGUAUGCGAGAUCACUACAAUAUAAAUGAAUCAUUUGAUACAACACAAAGUUCUAUAACUGAAACACCUAAGAACAAUAAUUCAAGAAAAUGUUUUGUCUAUAAUAUUAUAACACUACACUUUGAUACUCCAUGACAUGCAAAGCAUAAAUUUAACAAACAGAAAUCAAUUAUUACAUCAAAAAAUGAGAAGACUUCAAUCAAGCUAUCCAACUUUGAAGCUUAUUUAAAUACUUCAAAAAUGAUGAUUAUUAUACUGAUGGUACUCAUGAUUAUAUAUGGAUCAUGUGCAGUAUCGUACAUUUUUCACAAAAACUUAAAUGAACCAAAGAAGUUCUGUAAAACCUUAAAAUCAGAUGCAGUUUGGGAAAUAUUGAACAACAGCAGUACCAAAUUGAUCUUUUUAGGUCAGUUGUGGAAUAUGGGUCUGUGGUAUGGUCUCCAAGGACCAAAUGUGACAUAACUCAAAUUGAAUGUGUUCAGCAUCGUUUCUUGAAUAUGGUUUCUCGAUAUAUGUGCAUUAUUCACGAACCCCAUAACUAUAAACUCGGCUUAACAGCACUCAGUUUAUCCACCCCGAGUGAAAGGAGAAAUAUGAGUGAUAUCAAACUUUUAAAUGGUUUAGUGGUGUAAUUGACUCGCCGGAUGUAUUAUCUAGAAUAGGUUUUUGCAUUUCUGGUACAACCCGUUCACGAGACCCUUACUACCUUGCUCUAGUGACAAGAAAUUAUUAUCGAUGAUCCUCUGAGGAGAGCUAUGUCUUUAGUUAAUAGUCAAACUAAUUAAAACAUUUUUCUAAUUUUGAUUUUUGUUUCCAUUAUAUUUAACUUUCAAUAGCUUACUAUGUAAAUAGGUACUUUUAAUUUAAACAGGACAUGGAGGAGGGGGGAAGUGAUGUAAUAAAAAACACUCAUAAUCUAAAUUACCCGAUGGGUGACCUAUUUUAUAACUAUAUAUAUAUAGUACCUAUAUAAUAUGUAAUAUUGUUUAAUACAUUUCUAGGCAGAUACACUCCAGAAGCUAUAAAAAGACAGUUGUAAUAGACAUUAUAGAUUACUGCAUAGUGAUGGAUGAAAAAUUUU